rnacentral:misc_RNA from 1 species
GAUGAAGAACGUAGCGAAAUGCGAUAAGUAAUGUGAAUUGCAGAAUUCAGUGAAUCAUCGAAUCUUUGAACGCACCUUGCGCCCUUUGGCCAUUCCGAAGGGCAUGCCUGUUUGAGUAUCAUGAACACCUCAACUCUUCAUGGUUUUCCAUGAUGAGCUUGGACUUUGGGGGUCUUGCUGGCCUGUGGGUCGGCUCCUCUCAAAUGAAUCAGCUUGCCGGUUUUUGGUGGGCAUCACAGGUGUGAUAACUAUCUACGCUUUGGUUUUCCACCAGGGUAACCUUCAGCAGUGGAGGUUCACUGGAGCUUACAAAUGUCUCUCCUCUGUGAGGACAGCCCUUUGAAUGUUUGAUCUCAAAUCAGGUAGGACUACCCGCUGAACUUAAGCAUAUCAAUAAGCGGAGGA